UUUUAUUUGAGAGUUUGAUCCUGGCUCAGGAUGAACGCUGGCGGCGUGCCUAACACAUGCAAGUUGAGCGAUUUACUUCGGUAAAGAGCGGCGGACGGGUGAGUAACGCGUGGGUAACCUACCCUGUACACACGGAUAACAUACCGAAAGGUAUGCUAAUACGGGAUAAUAUAUUUGAGAGGCAUCUCUUAAAUAUCAAAGGUGAGCCAGUACAGGAUGGACCCGCGUCUGAUUAGCUAGUUGGUAAGGUAACGGCUUACCAAGGCGACGAUCAGUAGCCGACCUGAGAGGGUGAUCGGCCACAUUGGAACUGAGACACGGUCCAAACUCCUACGGGAGGCAGCAGUGGGGAAUAUUGCACAAUGGGCGAAAGCCUGAUGCAGC
rnacentral:rRNA from 1 species